rnacentral:sRNA from 1 species
AUUAAUGGUGCAGCCCGUAAGCCUUCGGCUUUGCCCCAGAAUAGGGAUGGCACUGACCAUGCUGCUUCCCACACACACACUACAUCACCCAGGGCCCCCAUUCCUGACCUGGCAGGGUCUCCCCAGGCAGCAGAGGGGAGCUCGUCUCCAUGGCCCAUUCAGUCCUUGGUCUCU